CCUACGGGAGGCAGCAGUGGGGAAUCUUGCGCAAUGGGCGAAAGCCUGACGCAGCCAUGCCGCGUGAAUGAUGAAGGUCUUAGGAUUGUAAAAUUCUUUCAGUAGGGACGAUAAUGACGGUACCUACAGAAGAAGCCCCGGCUAACUUCGUGCCAGCAGCCGCGGUAAUACGAAGGGGGCUAGCGUUGCUCGGAAUUACUGGGCGUAAAGGGAGCGUAGGCGGACAUUUAAGUCAGGGGUGAAAUCCCAGAGCUCAACUCUGGAACUGCCUUUGAUACUGGGUGUCUUGAGUGUGAUAGAGGUAUGUGGAACUCCGAGUGUAGAGGUGAAAUUCGUAGAUAUUCGGAAGAACACCAGUGGCGAAGGCGACAUACUGGAUCAUUACUGACGCUGAGGCUCGAAAGCGUGGGGAGCAAACAGGAUUUAGAUACCCUGGUAGUCCACGACCGUAACGAUAGAUGUCUAGUUGUCGGUAGUGUUACUAUCUCGUGUACGCGAGACUACGACAUAAGUACAACUACCGCCGUCGGGGUAGGUAGUGGUCGCGAAGAAGUUAAAACGUUAAAACGGUAAAGUUAGUACGGACGUGAGACGUACGACCGACGGACGACCGACGAGGGAGGAGG
rnacentral:rRNA from 1 species